UACGUAGGGACCAAGCGUUGUUCGGAAUUACUGGGCGUAAAGGGCUCGUAGGUGGCCAACUAAGUCAGACGUGAAAUCCCUCGGCUUAACCGGGGAACUGCGUCUGAUACUGGAUGGCUUGAGUUCGGGAGAGGGAUGCGGAAUUCCAGGUGUAGCGGUGAAAUGCGUAGAUAUCUGGAGGAACACCGGUGGCGAAGGCGGCAUCCUGGACCGACACUGACACUGAGGAGCGAAAGCCAGGGGAGCAAACGGG
rnacentral:rRNA from 1 species